rnacentral:rRNA from 1 species
CCUACGGGUGGCAGCAGUGAGGAAUAUUGGUCAAUGGGCGCAAGCCUGAACCAGCCAAGUCGCGUGAGUGAUGACGGUCCUAUGGAUUGUAAACCUCUUUUGACGGGGAGCAAGGCCCGCCACGUGUGACGGGAAGGAGAGUACCCGAAGAAAAAGCAUCGGCUAACUCAGUGCCAGCAGCCGCGGUAAUACGGAGGAUGCGAGCGGUAUCCGGAUUUAUUUGGUUUAAAGGGUGCGUAGGCGGAAGGUUAAGUCAGCGGUAAAAUGUCGGUGCUUAACACCGGCCUGCCGUUGAAACUGGUCUUCUUGAGUGAGCGAGAAGUAUGCGGAAUGCGUGGUGUAGCGGUGAAAUGCAUAGAUAUCACGCAGAACUCCGGUUGCGAAGGCAGCAUACCGGCGCUCAACUGACGCUGAGGCACGAAAGCGUGGGGAUCGAACAGGAUUAGAUACCCCAGUAGUC